rnacentral:misc_RNA from 1 species
AAGUCGUAACAAGGUUUCCGUAGGUGAACCUGCGGAAGGAUCAUUACCUUUCAAUGCAGAAGAGUUGGGAUGGUUGAGUAUCUCGCCUCUCAAUUCUCGCUGUAUUUUACCCUUGUUUUUCUCAUACUAUUAUUUCCUCGGCAGGCUCGCCUGCCGGAUGAAACAACUUCAAACCUGUUUAAUUUUCAAUCAGCGUCUGAACAAAUUAAUAAUUACAACUUUCAACAACGGAUCUCUUGGUUCUG